GACGAACGCUGGCGGCGUGCUUAACACAUGCAAGUCGAACGGAAAGGCCCUUCGGGGUACUCGAGUGGCGAACGGGUGAGUAACACGUGGGUGAUCUGCCCUGCACUUUGGGAUAAGCCUGGGAAACUGGGUCUAAUACCGAAUAGGACCACGCGCUUCAUGGUGUGUGGUGGAAAGCUUUUGCGGUGUGGGAUGGGCCCGCGGCCUAUCAGCUUGUUGGUGGGGUAAUGGCCUACCAAGGCGACGACGGGUAGCCGGCCUGAGAGGGUGACCGGCCACACUGGGACUGAGAUACGGCCCAGACUCCUACGGGAGGCAGCAGUGGGGAAUAUUGCACAAUGGGCGCAAGCCUGAUGCAGCGACGCCGCGUGAGGGAUGACGGCCUUCGGGUUGUAAACCGCUUUCAAUAGGGACGAAGCGCAAGUGACGGUACCUAUAGAAGAAGCACCGGCCAACUACGUG
rnacentral:rRNA from 1 species